UUUUGCUCAAUCCUUUCCCCCCAGGCUUCCCCACCAGAUGAUUGAGACAAUGAUGUCCCCAAGCUCAACAGCAUAUGCCCGCACCAAACAAGAAAGACAGACACCGAGAGAGAGAGACGGACAGGGGUUAAAGAGGGACGGGUUAAAGUGGGAAGAUAAAAGCAGCCAUUUACAUCCCACAAUCUGAUAAUUGGUUCUGCUGAGAAACCAACUUGGCUUCGUCCAAGUUCGAUAACGAGUUUUCAUUGGAAAAAGCUUUAGUCCUGAUGCUUUUCAUAGUUUUCUGCCUUUUUACUCUGUCCCCACAAAUUAUUCCUGAUAUAAGAGUGAAGGUUGUUAUAGUUAAAAGGAAAAACAAAAAAAAAAGGAAGAUUUUUUCUUUUCCAUUUCAAUCAUUUCAGUCAGUUUAGCAAAGUAAUAUCUGACUCUGCACCAGCUUCUGCUUUGGCAUCAUUGUCCUUCUCCUAUUCUUCUCCAAAACUGGUUGGGUCUUGAUAGGAUUUUGCUGUAUCUUUUGUCGGGGAACAGAUAAUAACACAAAAAUGAAACUGUAACACAAAAUUAAGGCUGUGGAGGUUUUAAAGAUUGGGGACAGCUAAUUGAUGAUGAAUCUGCAGCAGGUUUUGCACUUUUACUUGGUCUUGCCGGCCCAGAGGUCUCUGUUUCUUUUUAAGAAAGGCCUUAUUUGAGGAGUUUCCAAAGCUGUAGUUAGCUAGAAGAUUCAGUAGCUUUAAACAAAUUUUUAGCUUUUAGUUGAAAUUUGUGAAGUUCUACAAUAAAUUCACCCAGUUUUGGUGCAUUGCAAGUUGUUUCUUGGCGGCUUUGGAGUGGCAGGUCUGACCGAUUUGGAUGAUUUCCUCAGCUGCAUAUGGGGUUGCUUUCAGGAUCUAGUCUCUCCUUGAAGCUAUGUAGGUGGGUAUCGGUCAAUAUGCCUCUCAAUCGCAACCUCUCUGGCUUAAAGUGUAGCUUUUUUCUGCAUUUCGGACUGAAAAAGGCUAGCGAGGCUUUGACUGGAGCAACCCAUGGCUGGAAAUUGAAGAGACAGCUAAUCUUUUUGUGGAUUGUGUCGGUUAUUGUUGCGUUUGCCAUGCUUUUGUCUAGUUUCAGUGGAAAAAGUUGGGUUGUUAAGACUCCACCUUUCAAUGAAGAAAAAGUUGAAAUCUUGCUUAAACAUUUCAAUGUCAGCAAGGAACAGAUUAAUUCUUUAGCUUCUCUAUUUGAGACAGAGCAGGUUUCAUCUUUGACAUGUAACAUACAGUAUGGACAUCAAAUGUCAUUGAGCCCUAUCAAGAAUUGUGCUGUAAAGAUGAUAAGUUCAAUGUCAGAUAUUGAGAAAUGGCAUGAUUUUGUUACAGAAAAUAAUAAACUUGACAAUCUGAUGUGCCCUGUUCAUGAUGACAACAUUUCCCAGAACCUUGAUCUAUCAGUUCUUAAAGACGGUUGCUCAUUCAUUUCAUGGUGUACAUCUUCAGCUUCUAGUGAUCAUGAAUGUUCAGUCCAGCUAGAGGUUUUUAAGGAUAUGCUAAGUAGGUGGCCACUUGUGAGGGGCACCAGAUAUCACUGUGAGUGGCUUUUAGUUGACAUCAUCAAAAUCUGCUGGUGGGUUCUUAUUGGCAUGGUAUUGAGCUGGAAAUUAAGAACAUUACCAGAGGAGCUCUGGGGAAAUCAAAAGCAGCAUUUGGUUCAACAGAAGCCAUUGGAUCAGCGUCCUAAACUAUUACAGAAAUUGCGCCAACCGCUAACUGCGUGUUCAUCAAAAAGUGCAGGAAAGUGGAGGAAAAAGCUUCUGGUUAUUUUUGUCUUGGCUGGCAUAUUUGGAUCCAUAUGGUUAUUUUUGUAUUUGAAUGAAGAUAUUACGUUGAGGAGGAAAGAAAUGCUUGCAAGCAUGUGUGAUGAAAGGGCUCGGAUGCUACAGGAUCAGUUUAAUGUAAGCAUGAACCAUGUUCAUGCAUUGGCUAUUCUUGUCUCAACAUUUUACCAUGAAUUGGAGCCUUUGGCUUUAGAUCAGAAAACUUUUGAAGAAUAUACAGAGAAAACAGCUUUUGAGAGACCUCUCACUAGUGGCGUUGCCUAUGCUUUACGGGUUCUUCAUUUGAUGAGAGAACGCUUUGAGGAGCAGCAAGGAUGGACAAUUAAGAAAAUGGAGACUGAAGAUCAAACUCUAUCCCAAGAUCUUGUACCUGAAAACUUGGAUCCUUCACCUGUUCAAGAAGAAUAUGCUCCUGUUAUAUUUACUCAGAAAACUGUCUCCCAUAUCGUUUCAAUAGACAUGAUGUCAGGAAAGGAAGACCGUGAGAACAUUUUGCGAGCAAGGGCAUCUGGGAAGGGAGUCUUAACAUCACCUUUCAAGUUAUUAAAAUCCAAUCACCUAGGUGUUGUGCUCACAUUUGCUGUCUACAAUACUCAUCUUCCUCCUGAUGCUACCCAGAUGCAACGUAUCAAUGCUACUGUCGGGUAUUUGGGUGCUUCAUAUGAUGUCCCCUCACUGGUCGAGAAGCUUCUGCAUCAGCUAGCUAGCAAACAAACAAUUAUCGUCAAUGUUUAUGACUCGACUAACAAGUCGGCUCCAAUUAAUAUGUAUGGCAAAGAUGGAAUGGAUACAGGACUACUUCACAUCAGUAACCUUGAUUUUGGGGAUCCAGCUCGUAAGCAUGAGAUGCAUUGCAGGUUUAAAGAAAAACCUCCUAUACCCUGGACAGCAACAACAGCAUCUGUUGGAGUUCUUGUCAUCACUUUGCUUCUGGGUCAUAUCUUUCAUGCUGCCAUAAACCGAAUUGCAAAAGUGGAGCAUGACUACCAGGAAAUGAUGGUGCUCAAACAUAGGGCUGAGGCUGCAGAUGUAGCAAAAUCCCAGUUUCUCGCCACAGUUUCCCAUGAAAUCAGGACACCAAUGAAUGGUGUACUAGGAAUGCUUCAGAUGCUAAUGGACACAAAUCUGGAUGAAAACCAAUGGGAUUAUGCUAAGACAGCUCAUGAAAGUGGGAAAGAUUUAAUAGCAUUGAUCAAUGAGGUUUUAGAUCAGGCUAAGAUUGAAUCAGGAAGGCUAGAGCUGGAAGCUGUACGUUUCAAUCUGCGCGCGGAUCUUGAUAAAGUUUUAUCACUUUUGGCAGGCAAAUCUCUCGAAAAGGAAAUUGAGUUAGCUGUCUAUGUCUCCGAUGAGGUGCCAGAAGUUGUUAUUGGAGAUCCCGGGCGGUUCGGCCAAAUUAUUACGAAUCUGGUUGGAAAUUCAAUUAAGUUCACAAAAGACAAAGACAAAGGUCACAUAUUUGUUUCAGUGCAUUUAGCUGAUGAAGUGAACAGCUUUCUUGAUGCAAGGGACGAAGUUUUGAGACAAAGCUUAAUCUUAGCUCAGGAUGGUACAAAUGCUCCUUUUAAUACGUUGAGUGGGUUUCCUGUGGUAGACAGGUGGAAAAGUUGGGAAAGUUUCACAAAGCUGAGUGCCAAAGCAGAGGAUGCUGAGAAGAUCAAAUUGUUAGUGACUGUUGAAGAUACUGGCGAGGGAAUUCCUUUUGAUGCACAAGGCCGUAUUUUCAUGCCCUUUAUGCAGGCUGACAGUUCUACAUCACGGACACAUGGUGGCACAGGAAUAGGUUUGAGCAUUAGUAAGCAUUUAGUGGAUCUUAUGGGCGGAGAAAUAGGUUUUGUGAGUGAGCCUGGAACUGGGAGCACCUUUUCUUUUACUGUAACCUUUAGAAAAGCAGAAAACAUUUGUAUGGGUAUGCAUUGGCAGCAGUGUGAUCAAGCUGUUUCAGAAUUUCGGGGACUAAAAGCACUGGUGAUUGAUCAGAAAAACAUCAGAGCUGAGGUGACAAGAUACCACCUUAAGAGAUUGGGAAUGUCUGUGGAUAUAAAAUCUACUGUAGAUUCUGCUUGCUCUUAUAUUUCUUCUUGUGCAAGUACAAGUGCAUCGGAGCGAUUAGCUAUGGUUCUUAUCGACAAAGACAGUUGGGCCAAUGAGGCUUACAUUGCAGUAUCUUGUGUACUAAAAGACCUUAGAUCCAGGGGUUCUAUGUCCAAUUUGGGAACAAUUUCAACUUCAGAUAUUCUUUUGUUGGCAACCAGCACAAAUCCAGCUGAACUCGCUGAGCUGAAAUCAAUUGGUGUAGUCAAUCAUGUGCUAACGAAGCCCAUUAGGUUAAGUGAUUUAAUUACAUGCAUUCAAGAAGUGACUGGAUCUGGAAGAGACAGGCAAGUAGCAAGGGGCAAACAACCAAUGCUUGGAAAUCUGCUUAGGGACAAGCAAAUCUUGGUAGUAGAUGACCAUGUAGUAAACAGAAGAGUUGCAGAAGCAGCUCUGAAGAAAUAUGGAGCAAUUGUGACUUGUGUAGAUAAUGGAAAGGCUGCUUUAGAGCAGCUUGACCCACCUCACCAGUUCCAUGCUUGCUUUAUGGAUCUCCAAAUGCCACUAAUGGAUGGAUAUGAAGCUACUCGACGAAUCCGUGAUCUUGAGUACAAAUAUAAUCGACAAACCAAUUCUUGUGAAUUAUCUACUCAGAUAUUGUCCAUGGUGGCUCAAUGGCACACACCAAUAUUAGCAAUGACGGCAGAUGUAAUUCAAGCAACAAAUGAAGAGUGCAUGAAGUGGGGGAUGGAUGGUUAUGCAUCUAAACCAUUCGAAGAAGGACAGCUUUAUUCAGCGGUAGCAAGAUUUUUUGAGUGUGCUGAUGGAAAAUGGGUUUGACUUAGGUUUCACUUGUCUCACAACAAUUUUGCACAUAUAGCAUUCUUAGAUUGUGGACCGAGCAGGUUAACUUCAUGCUAAUUGGUGUGGCCCUGAACUCAUCCAGAGUUUAUCAUUUGCUUUGUGAGGAAUAGGGGCCAAGAUUGCUUAGACAAUACAAAGACACCUUACCACAGCCAUCAAUAUACUUGACCUGUCAAAACUCUUGUUUGACAAAAUUCAACGUACAACAAACUUCCAUGUACUAGAAUUAGAGGGAAGGAUGGAAUGAGACACUAUACCAUCGUUUUUUCAUUUUAUCACCGCUCAAUACAUUCUGCACUCUUUCCCAAGCCGUUUCAUGAUACGAGUAAUUGCCCGUUUUGGAAUUUCAGUGCAAAAGAAGCUUGUACAUGGUUAGAAAUCUUCAGGUGGGGGUGGUGGAUGGCAAAAUAUUCGGACGCCAGCUCAUUUUUCAUCACAAGGUUUAUGUUGGCCAGUAUAGCUGGUUCAAGGUUGGCGUGCAAUAAGACUUUGGGAGUAACCGGUGGUAAUGUUGAAUUGGAUUGACUGCAUACAGAUUUAACUUCCCAGUUUGGUACUUUAUGCAUUAAAGUCUUUUCUUGGAUCAAAGGGUGGUUGGAGUUGUACUAAUUUUUUACGUCGGUUUUAGAAUUGAGUCAUAUUUGUGAAUACGUUGCUAUUUAGUGGAAAGUGCAACCGAUUUUGCUUCUGUAACAUAUAUUUGGGUGAGCUAAUGGUUGUUGAGAUAAUGACGCAUAAAUUCUUGCUGCUC